GCCUCGCCCUGAGCCCAGAGGAAUGGAGCCAGCUGUCCAUGGACUGAGACCUCUGAAACUAUCCAGGUCCAAAGCCAUCAGGAGAAAAAUUUGAAAACAUGAAAAAUGCUUCUACUCCUCUUCAACUUGGCUACUUUUGAAAUUGUCUCAAUAAAAGCUAAACAAAUACUAUGAUAAAUCUUUUAGUUCCAAAGUUUCAAUUGAUUACAGGUUAAUUAAGUAUAACCCUUUAAGGCCCAACUUGAUGGGUUUCUUUUGAGAUUGUCCUAAAAUACAAAUGUAAUCUAAAAUGUAUAAAUCUCAAACUGCAUGAAUGUCAGUCUUACCUUAUGGCCCUCUGUAAUUGGGGAGAAACAAUGUAAACCCCAAACAGACAUUCUUUCCAUAUUUCAAUACCAAUUCAAUUUCAACCAUAUGAAAAAUUACACAAUUAAAUUCUAUUUUCUGAACAUAA